UACGGGGGGGGGCAAGCGUUGUUCGGAAUUACUGGGCGUAAAGGGCUCGUAGGCGGCCAACUAAGUCAUACGUGAAAUCCCUCGGCUUAACCGGGGAACUGCGUCUGAUACUGGAUGGCUUGAGUUCGGGAGAGGGAUGCGGAAUUCCAAGUGUAGCGGUGAAAAAUGCGUAGAUAUCUGGAGGAACACCGGUGGCGAAGGCGGCAUCCUGGACCGAUACUGACGCUGAGGAGCGAAAAGCCAGGGGAGCAAACGGG
rnacentral:rRNA from 1 species